UCGAGCGAGAAGCCCGCAAGGGUGAGUAAAGCGGCGCACGGGUGAGUAACACGUGGGUAAUCUUCCUUGGAGCCCGGAAUAACUCCCCGAAAGGGGUGCUAAUGCCGGAUGAGACCACGGGAUCUCCGGAUCCUGAGGGAAAAGGCGGCCUCUGUACACAAGCUGUCACUCCAAGAUGAGCCCGCGGCCCAUCAGCUAGUUGGCGGGGUAAUGGCCCACCAAGGCAUCGACGGGUAGCUGGUCUGAGAGGACGAUCAGCCACACUGGAACUGAGACACGGUCCAGACUCCUACGGGAGGCAGCAGUGGGGAAUUUUGCGCAAUGGGCGAAAGCCUGACGCAGCAACGCCGCGUGUGUGAUGAAGGUCUUCGGAUCGUAAAGCACUGUCGGGAGGGACGAAUAAGGCGGCGGCUAAUAUCCGCAGCCGAUGACGGUACCUCCAAAGGAAGCACCGGCUAACUCUGUGCCAGCAGCCGCGGUAAUACAGAGGGUGCAAGCGUUGUUCGGAAUUAUUGGGCGUAAAGCGCGUGUAGGCGGCCUUGCAAGUUGGGUGUGAAAGC
rnacentral:rRNA from 1 species